GGAAAGGCGAAAAGAACCCCGGCGAGGGGAGUGAAAAAGAACCUGAAACCGUGUACGUACAAGCAGUAGGAGCCCCACCACUAAGCUAGUGGUGAGUGUCACAGCGAUUCUUUUGCAUGAUAAGUGCGGUAGACGGAGCGAAGCGACGUCCAACCCACAAAAUCAAGCCGAGGAGGCUUAGUGGUGGGGUGACUGCGUACCUUUUGUAUAAUGGGUCAGCGACUUAUAUUCUGUAGCAAGGUUAACCGCAUAGGGGAGCCG
rnacentral:rRNA from 1 species